rnacentral:rRNA from 1 species
UACGUAGGGCGCGAGCGUUAAUCGGAAUUACUGGGCGUAAAGCGCGCGUAGGCGGUUGGGUAAGUCAGAUGUGAAAGCCCCGGGCUUAACCUGGGAACUGCAUUUGAUACUGUCCGACUCGAGUAUGGUAGAGGGGGGUGGAAUUCCCGGAGUAGCGGUGAAAUGCGUAGAUAUCGGGAGGAACACCAGUGGCGAAGGCGGCCCCCUGGACCAAUACUGACGCUGAGGUGCGAAAGCGUGGGGAGCAAACAGG